rnacentral:rRNA from 1 species
CCUACGGGAGGCAGCAGUAGGGAAUCUUGCGCAAUGGGGGAAACCCUGAAGCAGCAACGCCGCGUGGAGGAUGAAGGUUUUCGGAUCGUAAACCCCUUUUGUUAGAGAAGAUAAUGACGGUAUCUAACGAAUAAGCACCGGCUAACUCCGUGCCCGCAGCCGCGGUAAUACGGAGGGUGCAAGCGUUACUCGGAAUCACUGGGCGUAAAGAGCGCGUAGGCGGGAUAGCAAGUCAGCUGUGAAAUCCUAUGGCUUAACCAUAGAACUGCAUUUGAAACUGUUAUUCUAGAGUAUGGGAGAGGUAGGUGGAAUUCUUGGUGUAGGGGUAAAAUCCGUAGAGAUCAAGAGGAAUACUCAUUGCGAAGGCGACCUGCUAGAACAUAACUGACGCUGAUGCGCGAAAGCGUGGGGAGCAAACAGGAUUAGAUACCCGGGUAGUC